rnacentral:rRNA from 9 species
CCUACGGGAGGCAGCAGUGGGGAAUAUUGGACAAUGGGCGCAAGCCUGAUCCAGCCAUACCGCGUGGGUGAAGAAGGCCUUCGGGUUGUAAAGCCCUUUUGUUGGGAAAGAAAAGCAGCGGGCUAAUACCUUGCUGUUCUGACGGUACCCAAAGAAUAAGCACCGGCUAACUUCGUGCCAGCAGCCGCGGUAAUACGAAGGGUGCAAGCGUUACUCGGAAUUACUGGGCGUAAAGCGUGCGUAGGUGGUUGUUUAAGUCUGUUGUGAAAGCCCUGGGCUCAACCUGGGAACUGCAGUGGAAACUGGAUGACUAGAGUGUGGUAGAGGGUAGCGGAAUUCCCGGUGUAGCAGUGAAAUGCGUAGAGAUCGGGAGGAACAUCCAUGGCGAAGGCAGCUACCUGGACCAACACUGACACUGAGGCACGAAAGCGUGGGGAGCAAACAGGAUUAGAUACCCUGGUAGUCCACGCCCUAAACGAUGCGAACUGGAUGUUGGGUGCACUUUGGCACGCAGUAUCGAAGCUAACGCGU